rnacentral:rRNA from 1 species
GACGAACGCUGGCGGCGUGCUUAACACAUGCAAGUCGAACGGUAAGGCGCCUUUGUGGGUACGCGAGUGGCGAACGGGGAAGUAACACGUGAGUAACGAGCACUCUGCUCCCGGAUACCGUCAAGCAACUGGGGCGAAUACCGGAUAGGAAUCCUUGCUGCACGGUGGGGGGUGGAAAGUGUCGGCGGUUUUGGAUGGACUCGCGGCUUAUCAGGUUGUUGGUGGGGUAGUGGAUUACCAAGGCUUUGACGGGUAGCCGGCCUGAGAGGGCGACAGGCAACAUUGAGACUGAGACACGGCGCAGACGCCGACGGGAGGCAGCAGUGGGGAAUAUUGCGCAAUGGGCGGACGGCGGAUGCAGCAGCGCCGCGUGCGGGAUGACGCCCUUCGGGUUGUAAACCGCGUUCAGCAGGGGCGAAGCUUGUGUUGACGGUACCUGCAGAAGAAGCACCGGCUAACUACGUG